AUUAUUAAUUGCAUACCCGACCCACCCAAUUCUGUUCAAGUAGUAAAAACAGUAAGCGGGCCUGACAUCGGCGCCAAACAUCUUCGCGGGAAACCUAAACCUCGUCAAAUACUUCUGAAUGUUAUGCGGGCAAUUGUUUCCACUUUCGUACUCGCGGCCUGUCUGAAUUCUUGAUUGUUCAAUCUUCCGAGCGUUUGAGUAAGAAGGCUGUCACAGUUUUUUGUGUUUGAGGUGGAAAACCAUACCUUGAAAACCUGACAUUGGUAGAAGAAAUAGUUGCUUAUGAUGUGAAAUCAUAUUAGUCAUUACUUUCAUUGUCUUUGUUUCAGGCAUUAGCUUCUGCGGCAUUACUCAUUAGAUAUGUUUCGGUCUUUGUGAUUCAUACUGAUGAAUAUUGUAUCCCAUUAUUCAAUCCAAUUAAGGCUGUCACAGUUUUUUGUGUUUGAGGUGGAAAACCAUACCUUGAAAACCUGACAUUGGUAGAAGAAAUAGUUGCUUAUGAUGUGAAAUCAAAUGUGUUUCAUGAAACUUCUCCACCUCUUUCCUCUCAGCUCGAUGGGCUUUUUGAUGACCUCCACUCUCCACAGGAUUGAGCUGAACAAAAUGUUGUGAACUAUGAAUUACAGGAGAUCCUUUGCUCUGUUCUAAGAGUAACCUUUGAGGCCAGGCCUACAAAUCCGCGGUGAAACAAAGACUCAACUGCAAACUAGCUAGAUCAAUUGAAAAGGAAGAAUUUGCAAGACGCAGUUAUACAGGCGUAAUAUCGUUAUUUCUGCUGAGUUGUAUCAGUAUGAAUAUCCCUGCUGAGUUCUAUACGUAUGAAUACCUAUUUCUGUUUGUAUUUCUUUCUGUACGUUCGAGUUGACUAGAAGAUCAUUAUGAUCUUGAUUGAACUUUGCACGCCCGGUGGAUCUUUUUAUGAUCUUAUUUGUAUUAUAUUAAGUUGAUCAACGUUAUUUUUUAGUACAAA